AAAAUUUCGCUGGUGUAAACGGCUUUCCGUACCUUUUUAGAGAGAAAAUGGCCGACGAUUAAUGACAUUAGUUACUUUUUUUUGACAUUUGUUUGAUCGCCGUCUUACAAGGUUCUGUGCUUACAAGGCGACGGCUUAUUAAUUAAGGGGCUCUUUUAUGUGGGUUAGAGCUUAGGGUACGCAUUUUCAGUGCACAUACACCGACAUUAUCAAACUGUGGAAUCGAAAGUGCAGUAUAAAUCUGCACUGCCACAAUUGAUGAUAUAAGCAGUUAACAAACAGUUUACCAUCUCGUUAACAAAAGGUGGACAUCAAUAAAAUGGGCAAGUACGACUCAAAGGAUGGUGCACGAAGAAUGACCACAUGACUGGCAGUUUCUAUUAAUAUUUCCAUCAGUCUUAUUUGUGCUGCCAUGGACGAUACUGACUUAUGGCUUGGUUCUUCUGAAUCACAGAACUCUGGUGCUUGUACUAAUAAUGCGUCAUUUGAAGAUUUACACAUUUUAAUGAAAUGUUACCAGAACUGUUAUAAUUUAUAAGAAACUACAUGAAGUAUUUAAAGAGAUAAAGCGUGAAGCAAAAGGAAGUGAUGUAAAGAAGCAGAUCAAUUCACUAAGGUUGAAUCACAGGAGGGAAUUAAAUAAAAUGAAAUGUUCUAAAUGUGAUAGAAAGACAAUUCUUAAUGAACAUAAUUUAUAGGAACGUAAACAGUAGUCUCAACUGUUACAAAUCAGUGUAUUGUCAAAAACUUUAACAAUGCAAUAAAACAGGCACAACUAACUAACUCAUUAAUACAAUAAUUGUUAAAAGGUGUGACAUUUAUUUACUUAGCAAGGUAAAUUAAUCAUCUAUUACCUCUACAAUAAUUGUUUCUAUAUCAAUCUCUGCAUUCAUCCAUUCACACAUCUCAACAUCAUCUACACAAAGCUGCUGGCCUUCUCCAAUAUUGCCUUGUGUUUCAUUCAUACUGGUUUCAGGAUCCAUACUUACAUUUAAUGUUCUGUUGGCUAAUACAUCGUCCUGCAUAAUAUCACUUAUACUGUCUGAUUCAUCUGAACUUAAAUCAGAUUCACUAUCAGAUUCUCCAAGCGAUAUUAUU